GAUCCUGGCUCAGGAUGAACGCUGGCGGCGUGCUUAACACAUGCAAGUCGAGCGAAGCACUUAGGAAAGAUUCUUCGGAUGAUUUCCUAUUUGACUGAGCGGCGGACGGGUGAAGGUAACGCGUGGGUAACCUGCCUCAUACAGGGGGAUAACAGUUAGAAAUGACUGCUAAUACCGCAUAAGACCACAGCACCGCAUGGUGCAGGGGUAAAAACUCCGGUGGUAUGAGAUGGACCCGCGU
rnacentral:rRNA from 1 species